CAGAUAGGGAAAAUCAAAAGAAGUGAUAUUUAAAAAGAGAAAACGAAGUUGAAAACAAAAAAAAAUUUCCCGUAAUAGCUGUAUUGAUCUAAACUUGUUAGCAAUACUGGUGAGAUUACAGAAAAUGAUAUUCUCGUCGGACUAUGAAAAAUAAUAGGGGGAAAUGAAUAACGCAUGCUCUCAACUGGGUUGCGCCUGCAUUGUGUCUGGGAGUCGGGGUAGAAGCUUUUCGAUGAGAGUUGGACCAGCGAAAGUUAUUCCGUUUGGAGACACUAAUGUGACCAGUGCUAACAAAUUCCAAAAGAUGAAAGACGAUUUAAAAAGGAAGACGAGCGUGCAAACGGAAGUAGCUGAGAAAUGCCAAAAAAUUAGAAAGUGACGUUAAGAAUCGCCGACGUUCUACACUUCAUGGCCUUGACGACUGUGUUAACGGUGUCUCACAAGAUCGCGCCGAUGGGAGAAACUAUUAAAAGUUUUCAUAAAACUAAAAUACGGAAUUAACACGAAAUAAAAAUGUCUGAAGAGCACUGAAAGUAUCUUUCCUUGACUACCGUGAGCGUGCUUGAUUGAUCCACAUGGACGUAACGAGAUGACCGGAAUGCUCACAUUGUUUGAACACAUAUGUAAUAUAAGCAAGAACGAGCAUGGAUUCCUAGCAAUGCCACGGGACCAGGAUUAAGCAAAAGUAAAUAUUCAAUUAUAUCUAAAAUUACGUCCAAAUCAUUACGUUUGAUCGUUUAACGACGCGAAUGUAUCUAUAUAAGUGAAUUUACAUUUGUAUUUUCAUCUUCUUUUUCUAUUUAUCUUUAUACUCGUGAAUGCGUGAAUCAGAUUAAUUAACCCUAUACACACACACACACACACAUGUAGAGAUACACAUACAGAACAUGUGUUGAUAUGUUUUAACUAUUACGAAUGUUUAAACGGAAAACCUCUCUAUAUGUAGGAUGUAUUUAGGGUUAAUAGAUGUAUAUAUAUGUAUAAGUAUAUAAGUGUGUAUAUGUGUGUAUAAUCAUAAAAAUACAUAUAUACAUGUGUGUGUGUACGUAUUAAUAUUGAUGUAUAACUAUAAUUUGCCUUUGUAUUCAUCUGUAUACAUGUAGAUAUUUAGAAAAAGGUAAAAUUAACCCCCUUACUUCGGCGCCCUCUCAGACGUUCGGAGCUUCGAUUGAUUUAUUCAUAUUUGAUUUAGACGAAUUUGCAAACGUUGCAACUCUUUUGCAAAAAAAAUCAAUAUUUUGUUUCUUAUAAUUUUCUCGAUAGUACGAUAAGUUUUGAAGAAAUUCGAUUACGCCAGUUUCAUUGAUAUCUUGUGUUACUUGUAAGAAUUUCCGUUUUUCUGAUGGGGAUCUCUGUGGGGACGUCUGGGUGCGAAGGGAUAAAGAAAGAUUAAAAAAUAAAUUAAAAUAAAAAGAAAAGAAAGAAAAAUUAGAAUUGAAAAAGAAAAAAAAAGAAAUUAAUACCAAAAAGGAGAAAACGCAAAAGAUUAAAAAAGAAAUUAGAAUCGAAAAAAAGAUUAAAAUUCAAAAAAAGGAAAAAAGGUGGAAAAAGAAUUAGAAUAAUCAAAAAAGGAAAAUCAGAAAAAAGGAUUAAAAUGGAGAAAAGAAUUCAAGGAAAAAAAAAUGAAGAAGAAAAAAAAGAAAAAUAUUACAAACAAAUGCGUAUUGGUAAAUUGUACGGAUAUAUUUCAUAUUUAUAUCGAGUGAUAUCUGUGUCUAAUUUCUGUGAGUCGUUGUAAUAGCGAUGUCGCAAAUGUAAACUCAACUUUUAACCGAAUAUUUGCUAUUUCUUUAAUUAUUCACAAUAUUUGAAUAUUUUUAAUCGGCUGUACGAUUUGAUUUUAAUUUCAUUAGCUUGAUUAAAAAACUUGAUUGAGAAUGCGAAUUAACGGAAUAUUUCAGGUUAAUUCUCUAAGCAGUACGAGGCACAAAAAUAUAGAAUCGAGUAAAUUUGUUAGAAAUUCGACUAAAAAUUCGAGUAAAAUUUAUUAAAUCAUAUAUCGAAAUAUACUUAUUACUAUUAUAUUGUUUAAUCAGAUAUAGUUGAUUAGGUGUAAGAUAAUUUUUAUAUGAUAUAACAAUCAAAUUAGUAAUGUUAAUCAUUCGUUAAACGUGAUACAUUUAAUUACAUCAUUGUAAUAAAUAGAGUUAAUUUUUAUAAAAGAGUGAUAUUAAUUAUCGACAUUACUGAUUAAGAUAUUAAGUCAGGGAAAAAAGUUUCUUUUUAUUUUCCUAUUUUGCAUUUUAAUGCAAAAGCGGUUACGAUUUACGAUUGUUUAGAGUAUAGAUCAUAAUUAAUAGUUUGAACGGACGGCAACGGUUGAAUCUCCCCUUCCAUAGGUCAUGAUCAAUUUCACCCAGAAUUGUGCUUCAUGGAUCCUUUCAAGAAUGCUUCAGUUCCGUUCCGUUCCGUUUUAGUAACGAUUCGCAAAUAAAAAUAUGAUCCAUUAAAUGUUUCAUUAAUUAAUCAUGCGGCACACAAACAUUGGAUUUUUAUUCUUCUUCAAUGAUUUAUGUCUGUUUUGUGUACAGUUGGUUCCUUGACAGCAUCAUUUGCAUCACUUACAUGAUACCAUCUAUAUUGGAAACGUUUGAUACAGCUUUGUGCAACGUCCAUUGAUAACGGAUUGGUCAAUAAAUGUCAGAAAUUUCUUUAAGAGCCGGAGUGGCAUCAUUAUCUCUCUUGUAAUAAAAUAUUCAAAUGUA